UACGUAGGUGGCAAGCGUUAUCCGGAUUUACUGGGUGUAAAGGGCGUGUAGGCGGGAAAGCAAGUCAGAUGUGAAAACCACGGGCUCAACCUGUGGCCUGCAUUUGAAACUAUCGUUCUUGAGUGUUGGAGAGGCAGGCGGAAUUCCGUGUGUAGCGGUGAAAUGCGUAGAUAUACGGAGGAACACCAGUGGCGAAGGCGGCCUGCUGGACAAUAACUGACGCUGAGGUUCGAAAGCGUGGGUAGCAAACAGG
rnacentral:rRNA from 1 species